UACGUAGGUGGCGAGCGUUGUCCGGAUUUACUGGGCGUAAAGAGCGCGCAGGCGGUCGUACAAGUCGCGUGUGAAAGCCCCUGGCUCAACUGGGGAGGGUCACGCGAUACUGUUCGACUCGAAGGCAGGAGAGGGAAGUGGAAUUCCCGGUGUAGUGGUGAAAUGCGUAGAGAUGUGGAGGAACACCGAUGGCGAAGGCAGCCCCCUGGGCUAACACUGACGCUCAUGCACGAAAGCGUGGGGAGC
rnacentral:rRNA from 1 species